rnacentral:rRNA from 1 species
CAAGCCCUGGAAACGGGGUCUAAUACCGGAUAUGACUGUCCAUCGCAUGGUGGAUGGUGUAAAGCUCCGGCGGUGCAGGAUGAGCCCGCGGCCUAUCAGCUUGUUGGUGAGGUAGUGGCUCACCAAGGCGACGACGGGUAGCCGGCCUGAGAGGGCGACCGGCCACACUGGGACUGAGACACGGCCCAGACUCCUACGGGAGGCAGCAGUGGGGAAUAUUGCACAAUGGGCGAAAGCCUGAUGCAGCGACGCCGCGUGAGGGAUGACGGCCUUCGGGUUGUAAACCUCUUUCAGCAGGGAAGAAGCGAAAGUGACGGUACCUGCAGAAGAAGCGCCGGCUAACUACGUGCCAGCAGCCGCGGUAAUACGUAGGGCGCAAGCGUUGUCCGGAAUUAUUGGGCGUAAAGAGCUCGUAGGCGGCUUGUCACGUCGGUUGUGAAAGCCCGGGGCUUAACCCCGGGUCUGCAGUCGAUACGGGCAGGCUAGAGUUCGGUAGGGGAGAUCGGAAUUCCUGGUG